UGAGGAAUAUUGGACAAUGGUCGGAAGACUGAUCCAGCCAUGCCGCGUGCAGGAUGAAGGUCCUAUGGAUUGUAAACUGCUUUUGUAAGGGAAGAAUAAGGAGUACGUGUACUUUGAUGACGGUACCUUACGAAUAAGCAUCGGCUAACUCCGUGCCAGCAGCCGCGGUAAUACGGAGGAUGCGAGCGUUAUCCGGAAUCAUUGGGUUUAAAGGGUCCGUAGGCGGGCUGAUAAGUCAGAGGUGAAAGCGCUUAGCUCAACUAAGCAACUGCCUUUGAAACUGUCAGUCUUGAAUGAUUGUGAAGUAGUUGGAAUGUGUAGUGUAGCGGUGAAAUGCUUAGAUAUUACACAGAACACCGAUAGCGAAGGCAUAUUACUAACAAUUUAUUGACGCUGAUGGACGAAAGCGUGGGGAGCGAACAGGAUUAGAUACCCUGGUAGUCCACGCUGUAAACGAUGGAUACUAGCUGUUUGGAGCAAUCUGAGUGGCUAAGCGAAAGUGAUAAGUAUCCCACCUGGGGAGUACGCACGCAAGUGUG
rnacentral:rRNA from 1 species